rnacentral:rRNA from 1 species
GACAGAGGGUGCAAACGUUGUUCGGAAUUACUGGGCGUAAAGCGCGUGUAGGCGGCUAUGCAAGUCGGGCGUGAAAUCCCACGGCUCAACCGUGGAAGUGCACUCGAAACUGGAUAGCUAGAGUUCGGCAGAGGGAAGUGGAAUUUCCGGUGUAGCGGUGAAAUGCGUAGAUAUCGGAAGGAACAUCAGUGGCGAAAGCGACUUCCUGGACCAGAACUGACGUUCAGGCACGAAAGCGUGGGGAGCAAACAGG